GUGCCCCGCGGUAAUACGAGGGGGGCUAGCGUUGCUCGGAAUCACUGGGCGUAAAGCGCACGUAGGCGGAUUGUUAAGUCAGGGGUGAAAUCCUGGAGCUCAACUCCAGAACUGCCUUUGAUACUGGCGAUCUCGAGUCCGGGAGAGGUGAGUGGAACUGCGAGUGUAGAGGUGAAAUUCGUAGAUAUUCGCAAGAACACCAGUGGCGAAGGCGGCUCACUGGCCCGGUACUGACGCUGAGGUGCGAAAGCGUGGGGAGCAAACAGG
rnacentral:rRNA from 1 species